rnacentral:rRNA from 1 species
CCUAGUAACGGCGAGUGAAGCGGCAACAGCUCAAAUUUGAAAUCUGGCUUCGGCCCGAGUUGUAAUUUGUAGAGGAUGCUUUGGGCGCGGCUCCAACUGAGUUCCCUGGAACGGGACGCCACAGAGGGUGAGAGCCCCGUAUAGUUGGAUGCCUAGCCUGUGUAAAGCUCCUUCGACGAGUCGAGUAGUUUGGGAAUGCUGCUCUAAAUGGGAGGUAAAUUUCUUCUAAAGCUAAAUAUUGGCCAGAGACCGAUAGCGCACAAGUAGAGUGAUCGAAAGAUGAAAAGCACUUUGAAAAGAGGGUUAAAUAGCACGUGAAAUUGUUGAAAGGGAAGCGCUUGUGACCAGACUUGGGCCUGGCGGAUCAUCCGGUGUUCUCACCGGUGCACUCCGCCAGGCACAGGCCAGCAUCGGUUCUCGUGGGGGGAUAAAGGUCCCGGGAACGUAGCUCCUCCGGGAGUGUUAUAGCCCGGGGCGUAAUGCCCUCGCGGGGACCGAGGUUCGCGCAUCUGCAA